rnacentral:rRNA from 1 species
UACGUAGGGUCCGAGCGUUGUCCGGAAUUACUGGGCGUAAAGCGCGCGCAGGCGGCCCGCGAGGUGUCACGUGAAAGCCCCGGGCUCAACCCGGGAGGGUCGUGGCAAACCGGCGGGCUUGAGGCCGGUAGAGGUGGGUGGAACUCCUGGUGGAGUGGUGAAAUGCGUAGAGACCAGGAAGAACACCCGUGGCGAAGGCGGCCCACUGGGCCGGUACUGACGCUGAGGCGCGAAGGCGUGGGGAGCGAACGGG